ACCCGAUAAACAGGAAGUCUGGAGCACCGCAUGAGCCGAUGUCGCCUGUUCAAAUGAGAGGCCAAACCGCAGCAGUCCAGACGCCAUCGAUUCACUGCCCUGCGAAUGGAAUGAGGAAAUUCAGUGGCAAGACGAGACUCCGCCUGCCAGCUCCUCACAUCACUCCACCAAUCUGAUGAACUGUACCAACCUCAGAUUAACCUUCGACCUCCCCCUUGUCACUGGAGCUUCCAGAAGAUGGGGCGUGAAGAGGAUAUCAGAUAACAAGGCGGCGCCGGCGCCAGCGGGCUCAUGCUCCGGGAACCGAAGCCACUGGGCCGUGGUGGAGCACGACCAGGGCCGGGGCGGAGG